rnacentral:misc_RNA from 1 species
CUCUUUCGUUCGGUCUCUAUGCUCCUCUCUUCUCUUUUCUACCUUCGUCUCCACAUACGUCCAUCUCUCAUUCGUAUUAGUAACAACUACUAGAUCUUGUACGUGACGAUGAUCAAGAUAAGAUCCUCGGGAGUGGAAACACCUACGCAGCCAUCGAGUAUCCAUAAUAAAGUCAGUCACCCCGAUCGAUCGAUGACACCUGGUAGAAAGAUCAUCGACUCCAUACGAAGAAACAAGGACACGUUUAACCCAAUCGGAUCAGCCAAUUUCCCGACCAGACGUAACGCGAGCGUACGUCGACCUUGAAACGUUUGUCCACCCCCUGUUCAACCGCUUGCCAGU